GACGAACGCUGGCGGCGUGCUUAACACAUGCAAGUCGAACGAAGUGGCGAACGGGUGAGUAACGCGUAAUCAACCUGCCCUUCAGAGGGGGCCAAAAGUUGGAAACGACAGCUAAUACCGCAUACUGAAGGAGGGGAUGUAGUCUGAUAGGCAAGUUGGAGGGGUAACGGCCCACCAAGGCGAUGAUCCGUAGCCGGUCUGAGAGGGAGAACCGCCACAUUGGGACUGAGGCACGGCCCAGACUCCUUCGGGAGGCAGCAGUGGGGAAGCUUCCGCAAUUGACGAAAGUCUGACGGAGCAACGCCGCGUGAGUGAUGACGGCCUUCGGGUUGUAAAGCUCUGUUAAUCGGGACGCGGUACCGGAAUAGAAAGCCACGGCUAACUACGUGCCAGCAGCCGCGGUAAUUC
rnacentral:rRNA from 1 species